rnacentral:rRNA from 1 species
UACGAAGGGUGCAAACGUUGCUCGGAAUUAUUGGGCGUAAAGCGCACGUAGGCGGCUUUGCAAGUCGGAUGUGAAAUCCCUCGGCUUAACCAAGGAAGUGCAUCCGAAACUGCAGAGCUUGAGUACUUAAGAGGAUCGCGGAAUUCCCGGUGUAGAGGUGAAAUGCGCAGAUAUCAGGAGGAACACCGGUGGCGAAGGCGGGUCUCUGGGCCGAUACUGACGCUGAGGAGCGAAAGCGUGGGGAGCGAACAGG